rnacentral:rRNA from 1 species
UGGGGAAUAUUGGACAAUGGGCGCAAGCCUGAUCCAGCCAUGCCGCGUGAGUGAUGUAGGCCCUAGGGUUGUAAAGCUCUUUCACCGGUGAAGAUAAUGACGGUAACCGGAGAAGAAGCCCCGGCUAACUUCGUGCCAGCAGCCGCGGUAAUACGAAGGGGGCUAGCGUUGUUCGGAUUUACUGGGCGUAAAGCGCACGUAGGCGGACUAUUAAGUCAGGGGUGAAAUCCCGGGGCUCAACCCCGGAACUGCCUUUGAUACUGGUAGUCUUGAGUUCGAGAGAGGUGAGUGGAAUUCCGAGUGUAGAGGUGAAAUUCGUAGAUAUUCGGAGGAACACCAGUGGCGAAGGCGGCUCACUGGCUCGAUACUGACGCUGAGGUGCGAAAGCGUGGGGAGCAAACAGG